AUAACUGAAGCGCUGUCUUCAGGCCGCAGAGGAAAUUGCCUGUGAUGUAUAGAUGAAAAUGAAAAACGGGCUCCUAACCAGGACAUUAUGAAUGCCUGUGAUGAAUCUGAGUCUGGGCACAGUAGAGCCCUUUCAGACUUCAGGGCAAUUGAAAUGUCAAAUAAUUCCUCAAGUAUAAUGUGCAGCUUGUUAAUCCCCGAGAGAGUCUUAAUGCUCUUUGUGUGCGGGGGCAGAUGGAAUUGGGGCAAAGUGAUGGGAAGAAGAGAAUGCUUGCCCAGAGCACGUCCUCUCCUAGUGAUCCUGCCCACGGUGCUGCCCAGGCUCAACACCGGAGGAAUCAUGGAUACACGCAUCCGUUCACUAGUGGAUUCCAAGAGCAAUGGCCACGAAAGGAUGUGCAAGGUCAAGGGCUGGAAAUCGUCUACCAAUGCGGCAAUCAGCAAGACAGAACUCUUUGAGCAUGGAAGUGAAAAGGACAGGCUGAGGCUUGAGACUGGACACCCUACCAGCAGAACAGGAGAUGGAACACGGACAGUAACGAGUGGUAAGGGUUUAAAAGAGGAGAAGAAAGGAGUGAAGGGUGUUGUAAUGGCUACUCCUGGUUGUCCACUUGACUACAUCUAUAAUGAACUACAAUCCAGAAAUGGAGGGCACACUUGUGAUCUGGAUCUUGUGGCUGGAAGACACAGGUUUCUGACUUGGCUCUUGAGAUGGAUAUCUUGAGGCAAAGUAGCCAAGAAAAUUUUAGGCCCCCGGGAGAGGUAGUGCAUGCCUUUAAUCCCAGGAGACUGAGGAAGCAGAUCUCUGAGUUCAAGGUUAGCCUGGGACAGAGCAAGUUCCAGAUUCAGGCAUG
rnacentral:lncRNA from 1 species